CGGUGCAUGCGGUUGCUUGCAUUAAACGUAAACUGUUAAAUUAGAUGGCGACUCUGCAUUAAACGUAUUUAUUUAAUUAAUCGGCGAUCAUAUUUCACCAGAGGACUAAGAUAAAACAACUCGAUUUAAAAUAUGAGCAGUUUUAGUUGAUCUGACGUUGAGGGAAAAAGUAUUUCGCUUUUUGUUUGGAGAUGAACGAGACAACACGAGGGUAAGUGAUGACAGAUUUUCACAUUUCUUUAUUUAGUUAACUAUUAAAUAAGUAAAACAUUACAUUACAUUUAACCCAGCUUCUUUAUGUAACGUUAUGUCUGUGUUGCGUGUGGUAAUUGGAACAUCUUUAUUUUCUGACUAUCGUUAGGCAUUUCUCUUAAGCAUUUCAGAAAUCAUUAAAACCUUUCAUUUUUUUUUAGCACAGCGACAUAAAUAUGACCAACCAGAUCCCAAGUAGACAGGAACAAAUGAAGAUAUAGCGCAUAGAAAGACUUAUUCUUGGUGAUCAACUGCUAUUGACAUUUUUGAAUCGGGGCAAAUGUGGAGUGAAGAAAAACGUUUGCAACACAUCCAUUCCAGAGUGCUUUGACAGAUAAAACUGACACGCUUGAUGAGGACACAGUCAAGCUUUAAAAGCCCGUGUGAUAAAGCAGUCUUCAAUUACUACGGUGUCUGAAUUGCAAGAAGAAGUCACCCUCCACUUAAACAUGUGACAUCUAAACUGUUUUGUGUUUUAGUUCAGCUUUUUAUAGGUUUAUCUUAAGUUGGUUAAAGGCAGAGUGCACUAUUUUUGAAAGCCAAUGUUAACAUUUGAAAUUACCUAAACAAACAUGCCUCUACCCCAAUAGAAUCUGGACCUUCUUUUGAUAGAGCCACCACACACAUACGCAACCCCGGCAAGGGUGUCGGUUAGUAGACACACCCCUUACUGCUGGUUGGCUACAAGUGUGUUUUGGUAGUCGGCCCAAUUUCCUUUUCCAAAGCGUUUUUCAAACAUUGUGCACUCCGUCUUUAAAUUGCACUUAAAACAUUUAUUUUUCAGUAACUUUUUAUGCAGAGAAUUACAUUAUGAUUAUUAUAUAAUCAUUGCUUAUGAAUAUUUAGUGAUUGCAUAUUCAUAGUGUACUUUUCAUUAAUACAUUUAAUGUUAAUGUUGUACAAUUUGAUAGAAGUAGCUCUGUAAUUGCAUUUCUCUGAUAUUUGUUUUAU